AGCGAACGCUGGCGGCAGGCCUAACACAUGCAAGUCGAACGAACCUUUCGGGGUUAGUGGCGGACGGGUGAGUACCACGUGGGAACGUGCCUUUAGGUUCGGAAUAACUCAGGGAAACUUGUGCUAAUACCAAAUGUGCCCUUCGGGGGAAAGAUUUAUCGCCUUUAGAGCGGCCCGCGUCUGAUUAGCUAGUUGGUUGAGGUAAUGGCUCACCAAGGCGACGAUCAGUAGCUGGUCUGAGAGGAUGAUCAGCCACAUUGGGACUGAGACACGGCCCAAACUCCUACGGGAGGCAGCAGUGGGGAAUCUUGCGCAAUGGGCGAAAGCCUGACGCAGCCAUGCCGCGUGAAUGAUGAAGGUCUUAGGAUUGUAAAAUUCUUUCACCGGGGACGACAAUGACGGUACCCGGAGAAGAAGCCCCGGCUAACUUCGUG
rnacentral:rRNA from 1 species